AUGGAUCCCAGGGACAGCCGAGGCUCUCCGGGGAGCGGGGUCACGGCGAUGCAGAGGAAAUCACUCCCUGGGAGCGGCUAUCCAGAGGGGAAGAGGCCGGCGGUGCCGCGUUCACACGGGGCUGGGAGCGGGGCCGGGGCGCGGGAAGGCGCUGGCACGCGGGGCGCGCUCCCCACGGGGUCACGGCGUGCUCGAGGCUCCCUGCCCCGGCGAGGUGCUUCGGAGGAGGAUUUAGCACACGGAGGUGCCUGGGAGACAGCAUCACUGCUUGUAUGGGCCAGGCUUUGGGUCCGCUGCCAUGGGUUGGGGGAGCCCAAAAAGGGACACAGCCAGGGGGCAGCGGGUGCCGCAGCAAUUCUCUGCUCGCCCUCUCCAAGGGCAGGCUGUGAUUUUGGGGGGCAGGAAGGCCUGCCCCUCAAGUCCUGCAUGCCAUAUGUAUUUUCUUUUUCUUUUUUCCCCAUUUUAACUCUCUCCGAUGGUAUUUCCAGCCCUCGCAGCUGCAAAGGGCAGCUGGCAAACCCACACCUGGUGGGCUCUCCGUGUUUAAGGGCUCCCAGCCCCCUUCCCGCAGCGCAGGGGGGCGGCAGCAGCAGCAGAGACACCCAGGGGCUGCUCCUUCUUUACCUGAGGCCACUUGCUGUGCUUUCUGGAAAUAACUUGUCUGGGGCUGUGGGGAGAGGUUGGCCCCCAGUGCCAGGGGUUUGCUGCCUUUAUUUCACUGCACUCACCCAGAGCCGCGCGCUGUGUCCCGUUGCACCGUGCCCGUUUGCGCCUUGCACCCGGCUAAAAUCUGGGGGGCUCCCAGGACUGGGUGUCGGGGUGAGGAUGGGGAUGGUGUGGGACAGCUUGUGGGGUGGUGAGGACAGCAGGUGUGGUCUCGGGGGGCAGGGACGAGGCAGCAGGGCAUGCAGGAUGCUGUCCCUGGCCGUCCCCGCUGUGGCACCGUGCCCCGAUGGAGCCAUGCCUCCCGCGGGCAGGCGUGGGCCCUGCCGGAGCACGUUUCCCUGCGGGACAUCCCCAGCCCCCAUUGUUCCUCUGCUGCUCCCUCCCCAGGCACCAAGCAAGGCUUUCCACGAGCAUCCCACCCCACCCAAAGCCCAGGUUUCCUCGGGCUCUGAAGCCUCCAGCUCCUGCCCAGCCCUCGGUGCUGCUUCCCCUGCGCCUCUCCCAUGCGUAGAGCGGGGCAAACAAAUUACCCAUGAAUAA
rnacentral:lncRNA from 1 species